GAUGAACGCUGGCGGCGUGCCUAAUACAUGCAAGUCGAGCGAACGGACGAGAAGCUUGCUUCUCUGAUGUUAGCGGCGGACGGGUGAGUAACACGUGGAUAACCUACCUAUAAGACUGGGAUAACUUCGGGAAACCGUAGCUAAUACCGGAUAAUAUUUUGAACCGCAUGGUUCAAAAGUGAAAGACGGUCUUGCUGUCACUUAUAGAUGGAUCCGCGCUGCAUUAGCUAGUUGGUAAGGUAACGGCUUACCAAGGCAACGAUGCAUAGCCGACCUGAGAGGGGGAUCGGCCACAAUGGAACUGAGACACGGUCCAGACUCCUACGGGAGGCAGCAGUAGGGAAUCUUCCGCAAUGGGCGAAAGCCUGACGGAGCAACGCCGCGUGAGUGAUGAAGGUCUUCGGAUCGUAAAACUCUGUUAUUAGGGAAGAACAUAUGUGUAAGUAACUGCGCACAUCUUGACGGUACCUAAUCAGAAAGCCACGGCUAACUACGUG
rnacentral:rRNA from 1 species